rnacentral:tRNA from 1 species
CCCUGGCUGGCUCACUUGGUGGAGCAAGUGACUCUUGAUCUCAAGGUUGUGAGUUCAAGUCCCAUGUUGGGUG